ACAUACUUGCACUACAUUUGCACUACACUUCAUGCCAUUCUACCCCAUUUUGUCCAAAGAGAGCGAAAUCCUCAGAUAUUAGAUUAAACCGGAUCCCAAAUUUAAGCCAAAAGGCAAAGAAGGGAGAAAAUAAACUCCUCUGUAAAA